AGACACGCCAGCCCCGCCGCCACAGCACAGGGUUCUGGAGGUCGAGCUGUUCUGCGGGUUCUGCGGCGGCGCUGGGAAGAGACGGCGCCCGGGCAGCUCCCCUGUCACCGGCUUGGAGGAGCGGCGGGCUCCCCUAGCCCAGCGCCGCCGCCGCCGCCCGGGAACGCCAGGCUCACCCCAGCUGGGGAAGCUCCGAAUCCCUCAGAUCGGCGACCUGAGUGCUGUCGCCCCGAGAAAAUGGAGGCAUCGAGCAACGAGCUGUGCUGAGACCGAGAGACCUCAGUUCUGCGAAAUGUCGGUGCCUGGAGCUUGCGAAUGACUGCGGCCGGCGGGUUGUCAAGGACAACAUUCCUUAUGGCGCAACCAACAGCGCUGUCACCAAGAAACUGGACUCUGAGAAAAAAGAGGGUUUCGGCCACCGAGAAACUCCGUGCCACAUGUGCCGUGACAGCAAAACCGCCCGCUCCGCGCCGCUGGUGAAAGAGCUAACGAACGCCAGGUGCUGCGACAGUGACACCGGGACUAGAAGGCCUCGGAUGGAGAAUGGGACGCCCAGAGCAAGCAGGAAAACGUUUUGUUUGGCUCAACUAGCGCUGUCGCAACCGGAAAACUGUCAGGCCAGUGCUGCUGCGGAUGUGAGAAACCGGUGAUCCGAAGGCGGAGUGGCGCUGGGCGCUGGACUCGCUGGUGUGAAAAUCUGGCUGCUCUAGGACCCGGCAAGCGCGGGCACCAGGCGAACGCCAGCGACUUUGCCAGACAAAUGCAUGUCUUUUUUGGUCGCCAUUCAAAGAUGCAGCCGGCAGUCAGCCCCGGCUCUGAGAAACAAGUGGAGGUGUCAGCCAUAAACCCUCCGUUCAGGGAAAAGAGAGUCGCUGCGACGGAUCGACUGGCCGUUGGGUGGAACUUUCUUUGGUGGCCUAGUGACUAGAAAAUAAAAACGAAAACGAAAUAAAAAACUGCUACUGACAUUACUCCCACGCUCCCUCCUCAAGUCAGUGGCUUCAGGCUUAAGAAAACCUGUAUUUUUCUUGGCUGAUCCGUGAUCCCUAAUUACUGAGGGCCCCGCGACCCACCAAGUGCGAUUCGCAGAGGGAAAGGAGCUGGAAUAAGGAUCCAGAAUGGGACGGAUUUGGCUCCUCCAGGAAGAAAGCAAAACAAAUGCAGGUCGCGAACACUUUACAUUGCAGGAAGCUGCUCUUCCAGUGGCCGCGGCUGGGUCCUUCCACACCACCUCUCUGUCCUAGGCCUUCGUCCCGGUUCAGCCCUCACGGAUUCUAGGCUAGCGGUCAACAACCGCAUCCCUCCGGAACCUGGAAACUCUAGGUCCGAGAUCUCGGUGAAGAAUGAAAGGCACAGCGCCGCUCAACCCAGGCUUCAGGCCUGCCCCGCUGGUCCCGUCCCUUCCCUGUGGGAUGGAACUCUGUGGGAAUCGCUCCUUAUUCUGAUGGUUCACUCAUUCAGAUGUCCUUGAUAUUUGGGGAUAUUUCUAAAACAGCUGGGGAGAAAAAUGGACUGCGAGGCUCCGGUGUUGGACGUGAAAUUGGCAGUGAGACAUCCGCCUCUAAGCCCAGGGAAAAGCUUAAAUUGUGGUUCUCUGUCUCUAGCACCGUGAUCUUUGAAAUGCGUUAUUGAUUUUCUUCUUUCUUCUGGGAAAUGCAAUGCAGGUGAACUUUACUAUCCUUUUCUGGGGGAUCCUAGGCAGAAGCGAUGGCAGGACAAAGGCAGAGAAGGCACUGCCAGGUCCUGCAUGCCAGUAAAACUACUCAUGUCAGCUGUUCUGCAGGAUCCCAUGAGAAGCCUCUCACCCUCCACAAUCCCCUUAAAAACUGUAGCCCAGAACUCUCUGGAAUGAUGAAUUUGAAGGUUUGCUCCUGUCUCCUCACUCAGAAGCCUGUAAUCAUUAAACUCUUUCUCUGAU
rnacentral:lncRNA from 1 species